AGGAUACCUAGACUGCUGAGACUCCUGGUUUCAAGUUGAUUGCAUGUUCCUUGCCUCGGAAUAGAGGUAGUGUUGUCGGAAUUGCAAACGCAUCAUUGAAUUCUUGGAGUAGCAGUGAGAGUUUUGGUGAUAUCUCUGGACUAGUCGAUGUUGCUAUAGAGUUAGCAAGCAGCACUUCCCUUCCUGGCUUACCACUUGUAUAGACCGGCAUCAAUGAUUUGAAAGAGAAUUUGGUACCGUGCAAGGACUUAUCGCCGAGCAACGUAACCUUGUUCCCUUCUAUGUUUGGUCUUCUUUUUGAACAGCCAAUAUUGCUCCAGCUGCUGCUCCUGGACCUGCUGGUACAUUUGGCCCGGCGAUGUCUCGAGGUCCAGCAACAACUCCAAUUGUCCCAGAACCGACCCCAGCAGCUCAGACACCACAGUCCGAUGCAACUCAGCCUUUUACACCAACCGUCGACACUGCGGGUCCUACGGCUGGCGACGGAGGAAGCACCAGUCGACCUUCUCUCACUCCUUCAUCCGCCUACGCCCUCUCACCUUCGCUUCUCUUCUUUGGCAUCAGCCUCGUAGUUCUCAAAUUCUAUUGAUUUCAUUGUUCAUUUGCUUUUUCAAUGUGAUUUGAUUAAUGCGGUGCAGAAUUAUAAGUUUAUAUUUGUUCUCGUUUGCUUGAUGAUUAAUGUUGAUUCUCAAACUAAAUAAAAUGUCAAAACACACAAAUCUCCCAACAAAAGCAAAUGUCACAGCUGAGGAAACAUAAAUUCUGGAACCAAA